CUCAAGGGAACUCAGCAGUGAUAGACAUUAAGCCAUAAGUGAAAACUUGACUUAGUUAAAGCUAAGAGGGCCGGUAAAACUCGUGCCAGCCACCGCGGUUAUACGAGAGGCCCAAGUUGACAAACACCGGCGUAAAGCGUGGUUAAGUAAAAACUCACACUAAAGCCAAACAUUUUCCAGGCUGUUAUACGCAACCGAAGACAGGAAGCUCAACCACGAAAGUGGCUUUAUCUAAUCUGAACCCACGAAAGCUAAGGAACAAACUGGGAUUAGAUACCCCACUAUGCCUAGCCCUAAACAUUGAUAGUACUAUACACCCACUAUCCGCCCGGGAACUACGAGCAAUAGCUUAAAACCCAAAGGACUUGGCGGUGCUUUAGAUCCACCUAGAGGAGCCUGUUCUAGAACCGAUACCCCCCGUUCAACCUCACCCUUCCUUGUUCAACCCGCCUAUAUACCGCCGUCGUCAGCUUACCCUGUGAGGGACUAAUAGUAAGCAAAACUGGUACAGCCUAAAACGUCAGGUCGAGGUGUAGCGUAUGGAGGGGGAAGAAAUGGGCUACAUUCGCUGUAACAGCGAAUACGAAUGAUGCACUGAAACGUUCAUCUGAAGGAGGAUUUAGCAGUAAGCAGGAAAUAGAGCGUCCAGCUGAAAUUGGCCCUGAAGCGCGCACACACCGCCCGUCACUCUCCCCAAAGACGCAAAUCAAUUAACUAAAACCUAAUAAUUAAAAAGGGGAGGC
rnacentral:rRNA from 1 species